rnacentral:rRNA from 1 species
GAUCAUGGCUCAGGAUGAACGCUAGCUACAGGCUUAACACAUGCAAGUCGAGGGGCAGCAUGGUCUAGCAAUAGACUGAUGGCGACCGGCGCACGGGUGAGUAACACGUAUCCAACCUACCGGUUAUUCUGGGAUAGCCUUUCGAAAGAAAGAUUAAUACCGGAUAGUAUAACGAGAAGGCAUCUUCUUGUUAUUAAAGAAUUUCGAUAACCGAUGGGGAUGCGUUCCAUUAGUUUGUUGGCGGGG